rnacentral:misc_RNA from 1 species
GUGUAAUGAGAGGAGUGUUGUGACGAGGACAUCCCCAGCAACUGUAAUCCACUGUAAUGGAUAUUCCAGUGACGCAGUUGCCUCCUGGAGAUCCUAGGCUGGUAGAAGCAAUAGUGGGACAGCUAAAAUCAAAAGGAAUAUUCGAUCAGUUCCGAAAAGAGUGUCUGGCAGAUGUUGAUACAAAGCCAGCCUUCCAGAACCUUCGCCAGCGUGUGGAAGGUCACGUAAACAAAUUCCUAGAGAAAAGAACUUGGAAAAAUGAUAUGAACAAGAAUCAGUUGCGAGAUGGUGUACGCAAGCAUGUCAACAACUUGGGUAUCCUGGACUCAGGCAUAGAUGCCAUUAUUACACAAGUGGUCAAUCCCAAAAUCAAGCCAUUAAUCCUACCCUAUGUUGAGGACACAGUUUAUACCUUUCUACAAAUUGACAAGCCCAAGAGAGAAAGACAAGGUUCACACUUUGAGUUGCAAGAUGAAAGUAUUCAUUUACAAUUUACUAGUGCGGCAGAGAUCAAACCCAGCCUCCUGCCUAUGGAAACUGAUGUCAUCUCAUCAGAAGAGGACGAUAUUUUAGCUCGGGAAUCCCCAGAGAGUGAUCACAAAUCCACUCCGAGUCCGGAAGAUGAACUAAAGCUUGAAGAUGAAGAUGCCCAAGAUGGUUUUGAGUCUUAUAUUCCAUAUGAUGAGCCUGACAAUGCCCCGGACUUUGUCACAGCUCAUGUGGAGAGGCUUCGCAUUACAGACGACAAGGAGGAUGUCAAACCUGUACCAACAGCUAAGCCUCCACUUGCCCUGUUUGAUGACCAGUCACUUGACAGUAUAUCAUCCAAUUCCUCUGGUCUUACAUUUUCAACACUGUCAGGAAAGGGUUCUCCUGGAAGUAGAAAAUCAGCAGAUAACAUGGAUAAGUCAGAGGAGAGCCCUAAGAUGCAACAAGAUGUGAGGUCCACAACAUCAACUCCACUGGUUGAUGAGAAACCUAUUGAUGAUGAAGUGUGCCAGUCACCAAUGGAUUCUGAAACAAUCAAAGAGUUUCAGACCUCAGAAACUAAGUUUUUGGAUCCUCAAUCACACAGUUUUGGCAUCUCUACCACAGCUAAGACACCUUCACAGUCUAGUGUUGGGGCUGAUAAAGAUGAUGAGACUGUUGUGUCUGGUGCAAGCUUAAUAAGUCAAGAUGAUGACUCACUGGAGAGUAGAGGUUCUCUCUCAAAAGUCAGUAUUGCUUCAGAGAAAUCUGAAGUGGAAGAGAAGGUUAAAUCUGAAAAAUCAGAGGGGGAGAUAUCCUCUUCAAGUUCUGAAUUUAGUGAUAAUGAUAAUAGAGGAAGACAAGAAGAGCGUGUACGUAGUGAAGAUAAACAUCAUUCUGACACUUCACACAAGUCAAGCAAAUCUAAGAGCGAUCACAAGAGUAAACGAGACUCACACAGCCGUGAACGCGAUAAGGAAAGAGAAAAAGAUAAAGAUUCACGACAUAGUAAAGAUAAAGAAAGAAAGCACUCAAAGUCCCGUGAUGACCACCAUUCUCAUCGUGACAAGGAUAAGAAACACCACCGAAGGGACAAAGAUCAUGAUGGUGACAAGGACCGCUCUCGUAGUCAUCAUUACCAGUCAUCUUCAAGUUCCAACAGGGAAAGUUCAAGUUCAAGCAAGAGUUCAGGUGACAAGGAAAAGGACCGUUCAAGUCACCAGUCGAGUGAUAAAUCAGCAGAAGGAAAAAGUAGAGGUGGUGAUAAUGUAAAUGAAAAAGCAGAGAACAAACCCACCAACUCACUGGAGAGCAAAUCAGAUGUAAGUGAAAAUGAAAGCACUGAUGGUAAACCUGUCGAUACGUUAGAAGGUACAUCAGAAGACAUCACUCCUGAGACAGAUGGGAAUAAGUCUUCCAACAAAAUGGAGAACAAAAGUGAAAAACAUGAAGUUAAAUCCAACAACAAAUCUGAGAGCAAGAAUGACAAAAUUGAGAAUAAAUCCAGUAGCAAGUCAGAAAACAAGACUGAGAAAUCUGAAAGUAAAUCUGGCAACAAAGGUGACAGUAAAUCUAGCAGCAAAUCUGACAGCAAUAAAAGUGAAAAAUCUGAAGGUAAAUCUAGUAGUAAAUCAGGAAGCAAAAGUAGCAGUAAACUGAAUGGCAUUGCAAGUGAAAAAUCCGUAAACAAUAUCAACGGGAAACUGGAUAGCAAGUCUAGUAGUAAGUCUGAAGGUAAAUCGGACAGCAAGGUGCAUUCAGAAAAAACGGACAAGAAACACGGGGGACACUCGAGCAGGCAUUCGUCUAAAAGCAAGAAGCACGAGGGUGAGAAGAGCCGCUCAGAAAAGCACAGGAGCAGCAGUAAAGAAGAUCGGAAGAGGAAAGAAAAGCGAGACAAGGAAGGGACGGAUAGCAAACACUUAAAGGAGGAGAAAGAUGGAAAGCGUGAUAAGGCGGAGAAAGAUAACAAACAUGAAAAGGAAGAGAAAGUUGGCAAGCUUGACAAGGAAGAGAAAGAUAUCAAACAUGACAAGGAAGAGAAAGAUAUCAAACAUGACAAGGAAGUGAAAGACGCCAAGCACGACAAGGAAGAGAAAGACGCUAAGCACGACAAGGAAGAGAAAGAUAGCAAGCUUGACAAGGAAGAGAAAGAUAUCAAACAUGACAAGGAAGAGAAAGACGCCAAGCACGACAAGGAAGAGAAAAACGCCAAGCAUGACAAGGAAGAGAAAGAUAGCAAGCGUGACAAGGAGGUGAAAGAUAGCAAGCGUGAUAAAAGGGAGACGGAGGUAAAAGAAGGUAAACGUAGCAAAGAUGGUAAAGAUAACAAACACAGUAAAUCCAUUAAGGACAGUAAAUCUUUAAAGGAGGAGAAAGAGACUAAGGUUGAUAAGGAUGAAAAACAUGCCAUUAAAAAACAGAAAGGUUCUUCAAAACAAGAUGAAAAAGAAAAUAAGAAUAAAAACUUAAUAAAGAAUAAACCCAAGGAAGAUCAGACAAAAAAUAAUCAUGAAGAUAAAGAUUUGAAGAAGGAAAAAACUAUUGAGAACAAAAAGGAGAAAAAUAACAAAAGGAAAUGUAUUGACAACGAUGAAAAUGUUGAUCUACAGGGCUUAAAGUUCAGUGAUGACUCCUUAGUACUGGUGAAUGAUGAUGGAAACUUAUUGCUUUUUAGUUAUGAGGAUAGCGAUGAUAACCAUAAUGAUUCACCUGAGUAUCAACCUUCGAGCCCUAAAAAGCCUAAGCAUAAACCUCAAGCUAAGCAGUUAAAAACUUCUUGUCUUGAUACCAUUGAGGCCAAACAGAACAAAUCUGUAAAGAUGCUUGGGAACAAUAACAGAAAGACGACAGUUGGUAAUGACUUUGAAGGUUUUGAUGACUUGACAUUGGAUACAAGACUUGCUGAUUAUCUUCAAACAGUAAAAAGAGUCCCAGAUGAAAUGGAUAUGGAAUACAGUGAAUGGUUUGAUGACGAAGAUUUGCACAUAGUAAUUUACAAGGGUGAUAUUGACGAUAAAAUUGUUACAAGCACUUUCCUGUCGUGCUUGCAGAAACUUGGAGCCGUAGUAAAAAAUGCCAAUGGAGAAAUUGAAGAAAAGGGUAAGUUUGACAAAGUGGAGGAAUUGAUAAAAUCUCCAGACAAAUCACAGAAAAAGAUCAAUGCACAAAUACAAGGAAAACGGCGCAGAAUAUCUACCUCCAGCUCUACCUCCUCCAGCAACAGUUCUUCAGGGUCUCCUCAACACAAACGUGCCAAAAGAGACCAUUUGACAAGAGGCGACACCAAUCAGUUAGUUGAACAAGACCCUGUCAUCGUGAGUGGGUUUGCUCUUCUCACACCAGAGGAUGACGGCAACAGAACCUCAAGUAGAGAUUAUGGUAAGUCAAGAUUGAAGAUCUGAUUUGGUGGACUAAAAGUACAUUGUUGACAUACAGUAUUUUUUUUUGGAGGGGGGGGGUUAGUACUGUACUAUACAGUAUUUUCAGUCAGGGUAAGGAGCUAGAAUCUUAUACAGUAUAUGAGGCAUUGAUUAAUGCAAGUGCAAACUCACCAAAACCAUUUUUUAGAAAAUAAGGUUUAAAGUUUGCACAUAUUCAAAACAUCAUAGAACCCCCCAAAAUUCAUCAGUCCUGUUCAAUGAGGUUUCAUUUUAAAGGCAAUUUAAUGCAGAAUAUAACUCGGAAUAAAUGAAGUGUGAUGUAUGAUUUUGGUGCGCAUGGACGUCAAAUAAUGAAAUGGUGUGAAAUUAAAAUUCAUGAAAAUAAUGAAAUAAUAAAGUUCUGUACACAAAACAAUAAAUUUAUAUUGUAAUAAAGUAAAAAAAAACCAGUAAAUGAUGGUAACACACACACUAAAUGAUGCUUUUGCUCUGCUAAAGAACUUGGUAGCAGGGGGGGUAGGGUAGGUGGCUAGUAGUCUACCUGAUCAUCAUCAUCAGAUACAUCUUCCUCCGGGACGCCGAAAAUAGAACGUAGCGAGCUUCUCGUUGGUCGGCACACUCCUUCCCGACAUGCUGAUUAGCUCAGGGAGCACGGCAGGCUGUGAUUGGUUGCCGGGCCGCUGAAGUGGAUUACAGUCAGAGAAUUAGCACAUAUAGCCCACUCUCCCCAGCAAGUGACUCUUCAGCAGAGGAUGGGAAAGCCAAAACUGGAG